GUGAUGUUGGGGACGUCAGAUGGAACUGCCGGUGACAAACCGGAGGAAGGUGGGGACGACGUCAAGUCAUCAUGGCCCUUAUGUCCUGGGCUACACACGUGCUACAAUGGCCGGUACAGAGCGCAGCGAAGCCGCGAGGCAAGCGAAUCGCAAAAAGCCGGUCUCAGUACGGAUUGGAGUCUGAAACCCGACUCCAUGAAGUUGGAAUCGCUAGUAAUCGCGCAUCAGCAUGGCGCGGUGAAUACGUUCCCGGGCCCUU
rnacentral:rRNA from 1 species